UACAGAGGCCUCGAGCGUUAGGCGGAAUCACUGGGCUUAAAGCGUGUGUAGGCGGACUUCUAAGUACCUUGUGAAAUCCCACGGCUUACCCGUGGAACUGCUGGGUAUACUGGUUGUCUUGAGCCACUUAGGGGCUACCGGAACAAAUGGUGGAGCGGUGAAAUGCGUAGAUAUCAUUUGGAACGCCAAUGGUGAAAACAGGUAGCUGGGAGUGUGCUGACGCUGAGACACGAAGGCCAGGGGAGCGAACGGG
rnacentral:rRNA from 1 species